rnacentral:lncRNA from 10 species
GUUAUCUGCAGGCCCUGAUUGUGUGUGCCAAGCACAGUUUUUAAAGUAUCUAGUGUAUAUAAGGACAAGCCAUUCUCAGUCAAGCAUGAAACUGAAUCUGAGGAACUUAAGCAGGAAAAGAAGAAAGCUGAAAACACACUGAGGAUUAUGGGAGAGGGGCAAGUGCAUGAAGCUUCUCAAUGACAUACAGACACUCUAAAAGCUCAAGAGAUCAAUUAUUCAACUUCAAGAACUGAAAUUUGAACACAGAUUUUGAGCUUCCAAAUCAGCAGCUACACAGGGAUAUUCAUCCAAGCAGAAAGAUAAUACCAGAGUUCCGAACUGGAGGCUGAAUAGCAAAAGGAAGAAAAGCACUUCACAUAAAAUAGACAGGCAUGCGACUGCUGUUAAACUGGCUCACUCCAUAUACUCUGUGCUACAGCAAUUUAAUAUUUCAUUAAAAAGCAUUAAUGAUGGCUCCAGUGAAUUUCUCCUAUUCAAGCUCCAUAAUGACAGCAGUUCAAGCGAGUGUUGAUCUCUGAGUGAUGCAACACAAAAACAUCGCCUAACAAAGGAACACUUGGAGUACUACUCAUAUUCUCUGCAACUUGAGAUUUCUGAACAGUGAAAUGAUAUGAUGGAAAACGUGUUGUAGAACUUUUAGGAAGAUUAAUCUAUCAAUAGUAAGCAAGAUGGAGAGUAAAGAGAAGUAUCUGAGACGAAUGAUAAUUCAAUUGAAGUAAUUCAGAUGAGAAGUGACAAGAGCCUGAACAGAAAUGGAAAGAAAUGGGAAGUUGUAAGAGGCACUGAAAUGGAAAAAUCACUGAUUGGAUAUGGAACAUUAAGAAAGGAGAAAAAGAAGUGUUCUAUAAGAAGUUUGGACAAGACUCUGCAAGAAGUUAAGAGGUCCUUAAAGGCAACUGUGAAUUAACGGAGACUAGUUUUGAGAAAAUCAGUCCUGAUUUGUUUCUCCUGGAGUUUUCUUCUUUAUGUGAUCCUUCAUAAAAGCUGCUAAUAUGGGAAAGAUUGAAAUCAGCAAGUUUCUGGCUGUAAGCUAAAAGAGGCUCUUGAAUCAUAUUUCCGCCUGCUUAGCAAAUUUCUCUUGCGACAAUUGGAUGUUAUUUGGGGUUCCAUACUAGCAGGAAGAAGUACAAGCAAAGCUAAGUCAUUUUGAGAAUAAAUAUUAUCUCUCUAUAUAUUUGUAAAUGUUAUUUUCUUUUUUUUUGAGGUUUAUGAUUGAUCCUUGGCAUGUGUCCCCUUGUGUAUUGCUCUACUAAAAAUAGCCUAAAAAAGAAUUUUCCCCUCGAUGUGGAGCUUCUCUUUAGUUACAAUUCUACUUUCUCCUUCACUUGAGUAUCAGUCUUCAGAGAACUACCAUAACAAAGGAGUGGAUACAGAUAUACGCAAAAAAGUCUAUGAGAAAAUUAGUACAUUAAAUUUGUGAAAGCUCAUUUAAAGUAAUUUUCUACUAACAAUUUUAAUCAAAUGUAUUAAUCAUAUUUCUAUGCUUAGUGAUGUUAAAUAAAAAUUUAAAAGGUGGCAAUCAAUAAACAGAGAUAAAAGCUUCUCAAGAAUAAAUGAAAGGAAGUAAUAAAAAGACUCACUAAGCUGAAUUGCCUCCUAUCAACAGCAGCUGAUAAAAUAUUAAAAGAUUUGCCUUGUGUA